rnacentral:rRNA from 1 species
UAAUACGGAGGGUGCAAGCGUUGCUCGGAAUUACUGGGCGUAAAGGGCGUGUAGGCGGUUUUGUAUGUCUGGCGUGAAAGCCCCGGGCUCACCUCGGGAAGUGCGUUGGAAACUGCAAGACUAGAGUCCCGGAGAGGAAGGUGGAAUUCCAGGUGUAGCGGUGAAAUGCGUAGAUAUCUGGAAGAACACCGGUGGCGAAGGCGGCCUUCUGGACGGUGACUGACGCUGAGACGCGAAAGCGUGGGGAGCAAACAGGAUUAGAUACCCUGGUAGUCCACGCCAUAAACGAUGAGCACUAGGUGUCGCGGGUAUUGACCCCUGCGGUGCCGCCGCUAACGCAUUAAGUGCUCCGCCUGGGGACUACGGCCGCAAGGUUA